UACGAAGGGGGCUAGCGUUGCUCGGAUUGACUGGGCGUAAAGGGCGCGUAGGCGGUUCGUACAGUCAGACGUGAAAUUCCUGGGCUCAACCUGGGGGCUGCGUUUGAUACGUGCGGACUUGAGUGCGAAAGAGGGUCGUGGAAUUCCCAGUGUAGAGGUGAAAUUCGUAGAUAUUGGGAAGAACACCGGUGGCGAAGGCGGCGACCUGGUCCGAUACUGACGCUGAGGCGCGAAAGCGUGGGGAGCAAACAGG
rnacentral:rRNA from 1 species